CCUCAUUCUCUGAUGCAAAACACUUCUCACUUCUGUCAGCCUCCAACUUCCUGCUUCUGCUUCUUCCUGUCUGACCGUUUCUCUGUGAUCACUGUGUGGGAUUGGACCUGAGCACCUGCAGCUCCACAGGUAACCUGUACUCUGUUAACAGCUCCACAGGUCACCUGUACUCUGCUAACAGCUCCACAGGUCACCUGUACUCUGCUAACAGCUCCACAGGUCACCUGUGAUCAACCAGACUCCAAUUAGAAAACAAGCAUUUUAAAAGCUGUUAGUUCGUCGUGUUACAGACCGACAGUCUGAGUUCUUUCAGCAUCAUAU